rnacentral:snRNA from 1 species
UAGCUUAUGCAGUGGUAGUAUCAUCUGAUGAAGUUUUUCUGAGGUACAAUUAUUGCUAACUGAAAACUUUUCCCAGUAUCCAUCCCACUAAGAUGACUUGCAGUGUAUUCAGCAUUAGCAAUUUUUGACAAUCUCUAUGGAGG